UAGAGUUUGAUCCUGGCUCAGGAUGAACGCUAGCGGCAGGCUUAACACAUGCAAGUCGAGGGGUAACAGAGAAAAGCUUGCUUUUUUGCUGACGACCGGCGCACGGGUGCGUAACGCGUAUGCAAUCUACCUUUUGCUAAGGGAUAGCCCAGAGAAAUUUGGAUUAAUAUCUUAUAGUAUGAUGACUUGGCAUCAAGAUAUCAUUAAAGGUUACGGCAAAAGAUGAGCAUGCGUUCUAUUAGCUAGUUGGUGUGGUAACGGCAUACCAAGGCAACGAUAGAUAGGGGUCCUGAGAGGGAGAUCCCCCACACUGGUACUGAGACACGGACCAGACUCCUACGGGAGGCAGCAGUGAGGAAUAUUGGACAAUGGAGGCAACUCUGAUCCAGCCAUGCCGCGUGCAGGAAGACUGCCCUAUGGGUUGUAAACUGCUUUUAUACAGGAAGAAAC
rnacentral:rRNA from 1 species